rfam:Schizopora paradoxa strain KTC8140 unplaced genomic scaffold SCHPAscaffold_00434, whole genome shotgun sequence.
GCCCGCCUAGCUCAAUCGGAUAGAGCGUCAGACUCUUACGAGCCAGAACAUGGUGGGUUAUCUGAAGGCUGCGAGUUCGACCCUCGCGGUGGGCU